GUCCCCAUAGUUCAACGGACAGAACGGCUCCCUUCUAAGGAGCAGAUCGAGGUUCGAUCCCUCGUGGGGACG
rfam:Parcubacteria bacterium GW2011_GWA1_59_11 TY99_C0029, whole genome shotgun sequence.